UACGUAGGGGGCGAGCGUUGUCCGGAUUUAUUGGGCGUAAAGAGCGUGUAGGCGGUUCGGUAAGUCUGUCGUGAAAUCCUGAGGCUCAACCUCGGACGUGCGAUGGAUACUGCCGGGCUAGAGUCCGGAAGAGGCGAGUGGAACUCCUGGUGUAGCGGUGGAAUGCGCAGAUAUCAGGAAGAACACCGACGGCGAAGGCAGCUCUCUGGGGACGGUACUGACGCUGAGACGCGAAAAGCGUGGGGGAGC
rnacentral:rRNA from 1 species